CCCAUUGUCUCUCAAACUCUCUCAAGUCUUCUCCGAAGCCCUAGCCCCCUUCCUUGCAGUUUCCGCCUUAUCUCGCCGGAAACCAUGACCUCCCAAGCCCUGGGUGGCCUAUACUCACCCCCACAUGCCCUUAUACUCCUUUUACUCGAAGUUGCAAGGUCCGAUCUUGAAGACCCUGGCUCAGGAUCCCUCCGAUUCAGGUUCUAUGGCCAUCUCCGGCUCAUCUACGGCAUGUCCUAGCCUUGCGAGUUCAUCUCCGACUCGGACCAGCCCUUUCCAGGCCUUUCUUAUUAUUCUAGGGUUUCUAUGAAACCUUGAGCCAUUUUCUAUGUUUUCGUGUUUCUAUCUACUUUAGUUCUGUGCUAUUUUUGAGAUUUUCAAAGUAGUUUUUACAUCUUUUCCGAUUUUUGCUUUCAAAACUGUUCGUCUUCUCGAACCCGGGGUUUCCUAGAUUUUUUUUUACUUGUUCUACUGCUAUUUCUUACUAUAUUUUUUAAUUUUCUAUUACUCCUACGUGUUUUCACUAUGGAUUAUGUGUAUUUUCUUUACUGUAUUUUCCUAGGGUUUCUAGUGACUUCCUUUACUGUGUUUGCUUCCAUGAAAUGUCUGUGUUCUUUGGAUUUUCUUGAGUUUAUUCACCUGAUUUCUUAUGCUUUCAUCUUUACACUUAAUCUGUGGAGGAAACCCUAGAAUUUGGGGUUUUCCAAACCACUUAUGUGCGAUUGUGUUGUUUCCUGUUUGAUUUCAAAAACCAUGAUCUAUAAAUUCAACUCAUGUUCUCUUAUGUUCAAGACCUUCUGAUUUCUCGCAUAGUUAUGAUCUUCUAUUCUUGAUUGCAUGACCACUCUGUUUGUUUAUCUUUAGCCUCUGCAUAUUUAAGUUUAUGCAUCCUUUAUAGUCAGACAUUUUCCUCUCAAAAUAACCCUACUUUUUGGGGAUUGAUUUCAGACCUCCAUUAUGUGAGCUUAUUUGAUUCUUUCUUCGUCUAAUUUGGACCUAUUUCUGACUUAAUUCAGUAUUGAGUUCGAAUCCUUAAUUCCUUAAUUUACUACGUGUUAACUGAUUUUAUUCUUACCUUAUUUAUCUAAACAGUGUACUUUUAAAACUUCUUCUACGUAUUUACCCUUUACUACACAAUGUGUUCUUGAUUUUCUUUCCCUAAAUAAAAACUCUACUAUCUCCUAUUCAGAUUUGAACUCCUUUAUUAAAAGAGUUCCCUUCCCCUGAUUUAUUAUGAUUGAUACUGAACUGUUUAUUUUCUUGUUUACUGCCUAUUCUCAACUAUAAAUACCUCACUCCUUUUCUUUAAAAGACGAAAAAUUGUGUUAAAAAAACACAUACACUCAAAGCUCUCUUCUUUAAUAUUACUUGUGCUAUUGUUCUGACUAGCCGGCUGAAAGCCAAGGCUAGACUUUGGAAUCACUCUUGCUUUCCUCAAGUGUUUGCUGAAGAUUUCCUGGCUGUUUUUUUGCUUUGUUUGUUUUGAUAUUUGAAAGUUGCGACUGGUAUGUCCCUUUAAGUUAAACACUCUCCACAACUAUGUGUUUAAUUCUCCUUUUUUCAUGUCCCUCACUAUAUAUUCAGCUUUAUCACACUAUGUAAUUGUGUUUUAGUCUGCUAUGUUCAUUCCUCAUGUUUCUGCAUCUUUAUGUUCUAUUACUUGAGGUUUUUCCUUGUGAACCCUUUCCCCCUGACCCCUUUAUGUAUGAGUACUGUUCUAGGUUAGGGUAGCAUCCCAUUGCUAUCCAUGACCUGGGACCAGGUCCUUUUGGAGGUGUCCUAAUCACCACCCAGGCCCUGUAUGACUUCUAAAGUCUGCUCUUUAUCUGUUUAAAACCAAGUGGAGGAACAGGGGUGUGCCAGUCUUUUCCAUGGCUGGGUAUGACCACUUAGUUCUUUAAGUUCUGCCCCCCUAUGGUAAGCCAUGCUUAGGGACCUUAGAGUUCCCUCUGAACUUUGAUGCCUAAGGGCUGGUAAUUCCACACAUUGCACUACUCUGAUACAACAUUCAAUCUUUAUAGUGUAAGCAUUGCUUGGGUUCCUGAAAGCCCUUGGAACUCUGAAACACUCUAAGAGAAGGCCUUGGAAUCUGGAAUCUGGAAUCUGCAUUUGGUGAAACACAUGUGUUGGAUAUUGAAGGUUGCAUUGAGCCUCCUCGGGUCUGGAUUUAGUUUUGAUGUACUUAUUUCAGUCCUUUUUUCUAUCCAGUUUUGUAAUAAAUAUGUAUAAAACUCGGGAAAAAUAUUAGUAAAGGG
rnacentral:lncRNA from 1 species